rnacentral:misc_RNA from 1 species
UCCCUGUUGCCAGGGCAGUCUGAUUAGAAAAAUUCAACUAAUCACAAGGGUUGCGCUCGUUGAUGGACUUAACCAAACAUCUCACGACACGAGCUGACGACGGCCAUGCAACACCUGUCACUUGGUUCAAUAAAGCACUCUCGCCUUUCGGCAAAAUUCCAAGGAUGUCAAACCUGGGUAAGGUUCUUCGUUUACCAUCGAAUUAAACAACACGCUCCACCGCUUGUGCGGGUCCCCGUCAAUUCCUUUAUGUUUUAGUCUUGCGACCGUACUCCACAGGCGGGAUACUUAACGCGUUAGCUUCGCUACAUUCGGGGUCGAUACCGAAUACAGCUAGUAUCCAUAGUUUACGGCGUGGACUAC